rnacentral:rRNA from 1 species
AACGAACGCUGGCGGCAUGCCUAACACAUGCAAGUCGAACGAAGGCUUCGGCCUUAGUGGCGCACGGGUGCGUAACGCGUGGGAAUCUGCCCUUUGCUUCGGAAUAACAGUUAGAAAUGACUGCUAAUACCGGAUGAUGUCGCAAGACCAAAGAUUUAUCGGCAAAGGAUGAGCCCGCGUAGGAUUAGCUAGUUGGUGGGGUAAAGGCCUACCAAGGCGACGAUCCUUAGCUGGUCUGAGAGGAUGAUCAGCCACACUGGGACUGAGACACGGCCCAGACUCCUACGGGAGGCAGCAGUGGGGAAUAUUGGACAAUGGGCGAAAGCCUGAUCCAGCAAUGCCGCGUGAGUGAUGAAGGCCUUAGGGUUGUAAAGCUCUUUUACCCGGGAUGAUAAUGACAGUACCGGGAGAAUAGGCUCCGGCUAACUCCGUG